rnacentral:lncRNA from 1 species
UCUUAAGAUGUAUCAAUGGCAUGGUUAUUGAUGAGCUUGACAAAAACAAUUUUUAUGGACUUAUAGAAAUAAAUUCCUGGAUAGAUUAGGUUGAAGAGAAAAGGGAGUAGAGGAAUUGGAAAGUAUAAGAUGACAUAUCUCUCAAGGAUUGUUGCUAGAAAGACAGGCUAAUUGGGACCAACAGAAGAAAGUGGCAUCAAGAGAGGGUUUGUUGUUAGAUGGAAAAAAAAAAAAAGAAAUAGAGAAGGUCACUUUCAUGGUUGCUCCAUGGUACGAAACCCAGAAAGCAGACAGGCAGCUUCUCAGCAACGUGGGUGAAAAAAAAAAAAAAGGACGGGGAGGACUUUAUUGGGAUUUAAUACUAGACAUUCAAAGCAGAUUGGGGACUCAGGAGAUUGGAUAUCAAAAAGUAAGGAACAAAUCCCCAGCACUACCACUGCUGCAGGAGGUACCAGGCAAAGCAGUCCCCCCACCAGCAAAAUGGAAGGGUAAGGGAAUUAAAGGAACACACAAUUUUAGGAGACCUGAGGUGUGUCAGUGU